UGAAUGAGUAGAUAGGACACGCCCCUUUGAGCUGCGUGCUACAGCGAGGCUAAGCUAGUGGGGGCAAAGUUUCAGUGCAUUCCGUUGAUGUAGACGGCGUGAAAACGUAAAGAACAAGUAUGCCGGCUCACUGUGCUGCAUACAGUUACACACUACGUCGUACGAUUGAGACAAGGAAACUUGGAAUGACUUUUCAUAGGUUUCCCAGAGACUAUGGGUUGAGGAGGAAUUGGAAGUCUGUCGGCUUAGACCUGGUGUCAUUCCAUCAUUGUUAAACUUCCCGGCUCAUCUUGGAAGAGUACGUGCCAGAAAGACCACAACCAAGCAGCCUUGAGAUCUUAGGCAGCGUCUCCCUGAGUUCUGCCGGGCCAGCUCAGCUUCCCCUCAGAAGAAGUGCCGCCACCUGCCAGAUGAAGGAGCCUUUUGAGAGGCAGCUGGCAUCGUGAUUGGACUGUACUUUGGUCUGUUCCAAUCCAGCUUCAGCUCCAGAGACGGCAGGCGGGACGAGUCAACGGAGGCCGGGUGGACGAAGACCAAAGAACUACAGACUCUUCACAACCUGCUCAAACUCUUGGUACAGGACCUCACCACACGAGUCAAGAAGGUUUCUGUCUCAUUUCUACUCUGAAGCUCACCUUCUCCUGCUCAAACUGCUGACAAAUGUUUCUGCUGCUCUAAAGUCUGCUCUCCAG
ensembl:lncRNA